GAUGAACGCUGGCGGCGUGCCUAAUACAUGCAAGUCGAGCGAACGGACGAGAAGCUUGCUUCUCUGAUGUUAGCGGCGGACGGGUGAGUAACACGUGGAUAACCUACCUAUAAGACUGGGAUAACUUCGGGAAACCGGAGCUAAUACCGGAUAAUAUUUUGAACCGCAUGGUUCAAAAGUGAAAGACGGUCCUGCUGUCACUUAUAGAUGGAUCCGCGCUGCAUUAGCUAGUUGGUAAGGUAACGGCUUACCAAGGCAACGAUGCAUAGCCGACCUGAGAGGGUGAUCGGCCACACUGGAACUGAGACACGGUCCAGACUCCUACGGGAGGCAGCAGUAGGGAAUCUUCCGCAAUGGGCGAAAGCCUGACGGAGCGACGCCGCGUGAGUGAUGAAGGUCUUCGGAUCGUAAAACUCUGUUAUUAGGGAAGAACAUAUGUGUAAGUAACUGUGCACAUCUUGACGGUACCUAAUCAGAAAGCCACGGCUAACUACGUG
rnacentral:rRNA from 1 species